rnacentral:rRNA from 1 species
GGAGCUUGCUCCCUGAGAUUAGCGGCGGACGGGUGAGUAACACGUGGGCAACCUGCCUAUAAGACUGGGAUAACUUCGGGAAACCGGAGCUAAUACCGGAUACGUUCUUUUCUCGCAUGAGAGAAGAUGGAAAGACGGUUUACGCUGUCACUUAUAGAUGGGCCCGCGGCGCAUUAACUAGUUGGUGAGGUAAUGGCUCACCAAGGCGACGAUGCGUAGCCGACCUGAGAGGGUGAUCGGCCACACUGGGACUGAGACACGGCCCAGACUCCUUCGGGAGGCAGCAGUAGGGAAUCUUCCGCAAUGGACGAAAGUCUGACGGAGCAACGCCGCGUGAACGAAGAAGGCCUUCGGGUCGUAAAGUUCUGUUGUUAGGGAAGAACAAGUACCAGAGUAACUGCUGGUACCUUGACGGUACCUAACCAGAAAGCCACGGCUAACUACGUGCCAGCAGCCGCGGUAAUACGUAGGUGGCAAGCGUUGUCCGGAAUUAUUGGGCGUAAAGCGCGCGCAGGUGGUUCCUUAAGUCUGAUGUGAAAGCCCACGGCUCAACCGUGGAGGGUCAUUGGAAACUGGGGAACUUGAGUGCAGAAGAGGAAAGUGGAAUUCCAAGU